UACGGAGGGUGCAAGCGUUAUCCGGAUUCACUGGGUUUAAAGGGCGCGUAGGUGGGGCUGUAAGUCAGCGGUGAAAUCUCCAAGCUUAACUUGGAAACUGCCGUUGAUACUAUAGCUCUUGAAUGUUGUGGAGGUGAGCGGAAUAUGUCAUGUAGCGGUGAAAUGCUUAGAUAUGACAUAGAACACCAAUUGCGAAGGCAGCUCACUGCACAAAUAUUGACACUGAGGCACGAAAGCGUGGGGAGCAAACAGG
rnacentral:rRNA from 1 species